rnacentral:rRNA from 1 species
UUCCGGUUGAUCCUGCCGGAGGCUACUGCUAUCGGAGUUCGACUAAGCCAUGCGAGUCGAGAGGGGUUAAGCCCUCGGCGCACUGCUCAGUAACACGUGGAGAACCUGCCCUAUGGUGGAGAAUAACCCCGGGAAACUGGGAAUAAUGCUCCAUAGACCUAGGCUGCUGGAAUGCACUUAGAUUUAAAGCUCCGGCGCCAUAGGAUGGCUCUGCGGCCUAUCAUGGUAGUUGUCAGGGUAGUGACCUGACAAGCCAGCGACGGGUACGGGCGAUGAGAGUCGUAGCCCGGAGAUGGACUCUGAGACACGAGUCCAGGCCCUACGGGGCGCAGCAGGCGCGAAAACUGCACACUGUGGGAAACCACGAUGCGGGAACUCCAAGUGCCAGUACAAUGUGCUGGCUGUUCUCUUGUCUAAAAAACAAGAGGAGUAAGUGCUGGGUAAGACGGGUGCCAGCCGCCGCGGUAAUACCUGCAGCACGAGUGGUGGCCGCUUUUAUUGAGCUUAAAGCGUUCGUAGCCUGUUUAGUAAAUCCCUGGGUAAAUCGGGCAGCUCAACUGUUCGAAUUCUGGGGACACUGCUGAACUUGAGAUCGGGAGAGGACAGAGGUACUCUUGGGGUAGGGGUAAAAUCCUGUAAUCCUGAGGGGACCACCUGUGGCGAAGGCGUCUGUCUAGAACGAGUCUGACGGUGAGGAACGAAGGCUAGGGGCGCGAACGGGAUUAGAUACCCCGGUAGUCCUAGCUGUAAACGCUGUGGGCUUCGUGUUGGGCGUCCUGCGUGGGCAUCCAGUGCUGGAGAGAAAUCAUUAAGCCCACCGCUUGGGGAGUAUGGUCGCAAGACUGAAACUUAAAGGAAUUGGCGGGGGAGCACCGCAACGGGUGGAGCGUACGGUUUAAUUGGAUUCAACGCCGGA